rnacentral:lncRNA from 1 species
GACAGAGAGCAUCUCAGGGUAGAAGGAGAAGAAAGAUGGUGGCAGUCAGCAAGUUUGAAGGAUAGUGGCACACACCAGUUCUGCUUGGAAGCUGAUGCCUUGAGGAGUUGAUCGCCUGCUGAGCUUGCCUUGCAACAGAAACCAGCUGAAACAAAGAAUUGCUCUUUGGGGUUUACCCAUAUAAAGGCAGAGCUGAAAAUAAAACUUUGACCCUGGAUCAGAAAUCU